UGAUCAAUUCAAGCAGCUAACCAAAACCGUGCUGCCUAAUGAAAUGAAUUGCUCCCUUGUACAACAUGAGAUGAUUCCUCCUCAGUUCCCGCCGGAACUUUCUUCUAACCGAAAUUUCUUUUUCUGCUGCUAAGUGCUGACCACAAACUACUGAAAUGGAGAAACCCUGGAUGAUAUUUCCACCGCAGCACUUACAGGUGAUUUUUUGCAGUGUAUGGCACAACAGCAGGGAGAACAACAAAAACAACUUGCCCAAGUGAUCGAAGGUUCUUCUUCUGUCUUCUCGGCCUUGAUUGAUUCCGGCGCGGAAGGAAACUUUAUACACACGAAGGUGGUUAAUCAGCUGGACAUCAGUGUUCAACCCCUGAAGACUACAUUGAAGGUUUCUGCUCUGGAUGGAGGCCCUGUUGGAGCAGGAACUAUUUCUUUGAUAACAGAACCGGUUAAGUAUUUCUCAUGGCCGUCAAGUUCUUUCUAGACUACUAGAGAACCAGCUGUACAUCAAAGGAGAGAAAUUGUUUUCUAGGGUAUCAACCUCCUGUAAUGCCUUGAUGUGGAACUACAUCGGAUGUACCCGCUGUGGAUGACUGGAUGAGGCGUAGUGAGGAGGUAUGGGAGCAGACGCAUCAACGCAUAGAAACCGUAUUGCGACGGCAAAAGAAUCAAGCAGAUCGCCAUCAAGGAAAUACUCCCACCUAUCAACCAGGAGACCGGGUGUGGCUGUCAACACAAGACUUCAGGAUCUCAGAGGGGAGUAAAAAAUUAUCACCCAAAUACAUUGGUCCAUAUAAAAUUUUAAAACGUAUUAAUGAUGUCACAUAUAAAUUGGAUUUACCUGGGCAUUCUCGUAUGUCAAAUUCUUUUCAUGUAUCUCUCCUGAAACCGGUUGUCACAGGUCCACUGAACGAGACCAUGUCUGGUGAGACUCCUCCACCUCCGGUGAUUGUUGAUGGGACACCUGUUUAUGCUGUCCAUCGGUUGCUGGAUUCGAGACGACGUGGGGCCAGUCUGCAAUACCUGGGUAACGCGAGUGACGUCUUAUAACCAAAUGACGUCACGAUGCGGGCCGGUUGGUGUUGUGACGUCACUGGAGAGAGAGUAUAAAUACAGGCGCUUCACUUCAGCAGGUCAGAGCUCGGUGUGAGAUUCUACUCAGCGCUUCUACUGCAGCUAAUACAGGUGACGGGACCAACAGGACCGGGUACGAGCGCACUGGAAAUCAUGGAGCCUGACUGGGGAGAGCACCUGAACCACUGGGCUCAAAAGCAGCUGAGAAAAGAGAGGGAUGUGAUGGACAUGAUUGUUAUUGAGAUUGAGGAACUGGAAAGCCAGAUGCAGGAGACUGGUGAAGAUAGAGGACAGGGUCAGUGCAUCCAGACUGACAGGGGAGAGAACCUGGAAAAUUGGCCAAAAGAAAUUGAGGACAUGGAAAGCAGAAUACAAGAGUUUAAUAAAGACAUAGGACAGGGUCAGUGCACACUGGACAUCAUCGAUGAGUCCAAGAUUAACUGGGGAGAGAGCACGACUUGUGGGCUUCUAGAGAAAUAUAUGAUGGAAAUGAUGACAGAAAAAUUUGAGGAUAUGAAAAACAAGAUACAAGAGUUUAAUUAAGUCAUAGGAGAGGGUCAGUGCAGACUAGAAACUAUCAAUGAGACCAAGAUUGAUAGGGUAGAGUGCACGACUUGUGGGCCUCUGAAGCAACUGCAAAAAGACAGAGAUGUGAUGGAAAUGAUAAUAAUAGAGAUUGAGGAUUUGGAAAGCCAGAUACAAAAGUCUGAUAAAGACACAGGACAGAGUCAAGGCACACUGGACAUCAUCGAUGAGACCAAGAUUGAUAGGGUAGAGCACUCGGACUACUGGGGUCAAUGGUAGCUGCAAAAAGAGAAAGAUAUGAUGGGUCAGUGGAAACCUGAAAUCAUCAAUGACACUAGGAUUAACUGGGUAGAGAGCACGACUUGUGGGCUUCCAAAGCAACUGCAAAAAGACAGAGAUAUGAUGGAAACUGAGGACAUGGAAAACACGAUACAGGACUAUAAUGAAAACAUAGGUCAGGGUCUGUGCACAGUGGAAACCAUUGAUGAGACAGAGAUAAACUGGGGAGAGCACAUGACUUGUGGGCCUCCGAAGCAGCAGAACAAGAACAGAAUGAUGAAAAUGAUGAGGAAAGAGAAUAAGGAUUUGGUAAGAAAGAUCCAAGAGCUUGAGAAUGAAAAAGAGGAAUUAGAAGAGCUGAUGAGCAUUGAGAGGAAGAGGGACAAGGCUGUGAGAAAAACUCUGAGAAAGGGGAUGGACCCAGCUAUUAAAGAAGCUGAAAAAGAGGAAGAGAAGAAGCAGCGUGAUCAGGUCCUGCUAAUCAAGUCAUUAAGGCUAAAGAUUGAGAAGCUCACGGCUCGUCACAGUCCAGACCCAAAACCAGAGUCCCAGAUGAAAAUCACAAAGAAGCUGGGACCAGUCUGGACUCGGACGACAAAAUAAAGGCAGAGAAGAAAAACCAAGAGCUGCUUAAACAGGUCAAUGAUCUCCAAGUGACCGCACAACUGUGUAAAGAAACGCAAAGCCAAACAGAAAUGGAGAGUGAGAUUGAGGGAGGAAAUAGGAAGAAGUCGUGGUUCUCCAACCUAAUCCGUAAAAAAGAGAAGAAAUGGUCAGAGGAGAAAAAGAACCUGGAGCUAAACAGGGAGAUGGAGAGAUCCUAUCUAGAGCUGCAGCUUCAAACUAAUGAAGAGCUGCAUGUCUCCAUGAUGGUGAAUGAGAGAAAAACUAAAAAGUGGUGGAAGAUAAGAUGGUUCACCAAGAAGCUUUAAAUUAAAAGAAAUGUUUCUCCACAUAUUGGGAGACGUGGAGCUAAAAAAUUGGCAACAAUUCUGCACAAAAGUGGUGAAGUGGUCACAACACUGUGCAAAAGUGCUCGGGGAAACAGUCAUGUGCAACAAUUGUGUGCAAAAAAAAUUAAAUAUUGACCCCCAGAGCACAAAGUAGUGGAGUGGUCACUCUGCUAUUGGCCACAGAGCACAAAAAUAAUUAAAAUGUUGAGUACAAAGAUAAAAUUUGGUCGCCAUAGUGGCGGGGUGGUGGAGUGGUCACAUUGACCCGGGACCUAAAUUAUUUAAAACAUCCAUUUUACCACAACUGGGUACAGAAAAAAAUAAAUAUAGUGGUGGAGUGGUCACUUUGCUCUGGCCAAAAAAAGAAACUAAACAAAACAUAAAUAUAAAAUAUUAAAAUAUUGCACUUUAUAUAUAUAUAUAUAUAUUGGCCCCGAGAGCAAAAAUGUUGUGAGCAAAGAUAAAUAUCGGUCGCCAUAGUGGCGGGGUGGUGGAGUGGUCACACUGACCCGGGACCUAAAUGAUUAAAAACAUAAAUUAACAACAAUCAUCAAUUUGUGACAACAGUGUGCAGAAUAAAAGACUAUAAAUAUUGUUUCAUUUUAAUUUAUUUAAAUGAUUCUCCAGGUCACCUGAGGGGGAUGGAGGUUCCUGUCGAGUCUGGUUCCUCUCAAAGUUCCUUCCUGUAAUUUUAGGAGAGUUUUUCUUUGUCACUGUCGCCCUCGGCAGAUCAACAGGGGUGGUGGAGAUAUCCCACUGACCUGAAAUAAAUAAAUACUUUAUUUAGUAAUCGAGUGUAUAAACAGUACUGGUCCCCAUAGUGGGUGGCGGGGGUUUGGUCACAUUGAUAAAACUGUAACCACACUGUAGACUGUAGACACAGUAGGACCAGUUUGGUGUAGAAAGUCCAGUGACCUGCAGUGACCCUGAUCCCUUCAUUAAAACCUGGUUAUGAUUGAGGCAUUAAAGAAAAUGUUUUAAUAA